rnacentral:rRNA from 1 species
CUUUUACAAUGAAGAGUUUGAUCCUGGCUCAGGAUGAACGCUAGCUACAGGCUUAACACAUGCAAGUCGAGGGGCAGCAUUUUAGUUUGCUUGCAAACUGAAGAUGGCGACCGGCGCACGGGUGAGUAACACGUAUCCAACCUGCCGAUAACUCCGGAAUAGCCUUUCGAAAGAAAGAUUAAUACCGGAUGGCAUACGAAUAUCGCAUGAUAUUUUUAUUAAAGAAUUUCGGUUAUCGAUGGGGAUGCGUUCCAUUAGUUUGUUGGCGGGGUAACGGCCCACCAAGACUACGAUGGAUAGGGGUUCUGAGAGGAAGGUCCCCCAC